rnacentral:rRNA from 1 species
UUAAAGGGAAAUUUGGGGCUCGUCCCCGUCCUCCCAUCCGUGGAAACGCGAGGCCCCUUGCUACGUUACUUCGGCGGGGUUUUCCCGCCGAGCAGCAAGCACAAACUCUGUUUUAACGUGUCGUCUGAUGACAACGCAAAUAAGUCAAAACUUUCAACAACGGAUCUCUUGGUUCUGGCAUCGAUGAAGAACGCAGCGAAAUGCGAUAAGUAAUGUGAAUUGCAGAAUUCAGUGAAUCAUCGAAUCUUUGAACGCACAUUGCGCCCCAUGGUAUUCCAUCGGGCACACCCGUUCGAGCGUCAUUGCAACACUCAGGCACCGCCUGGUAUUGGGCGCCGCCCGUCGAGGGCGCGCCUCAAACUCCUCGGCGUCGCCGUCCGUCCUCGAGCGCAGCGAGAACUCUUCCAGCGCUACCGAGGCGGGCCGUGGCCGCCGCAACGCACAAUUCUUUCAAUGUUGACCUCGGAUCGGGUGGGGAUACCCGCUGAACUUAAGCAUAUCAAUAA